AAGCUUCGGUUGAAGUCAUGGGUGGAAAGCGGCGGACGGGUGAGUAACGCGUAGGCAACCUGCCCUUUGCAGAGGGAUAGCCUCGGAAACCGGGAUUAAAACCUCAUGAUGCCGUGUGAAGACAUCUUCAUAUGGUCAAAGAUUUAUCGGCAAAGGAUGGGCCUGCGUCUGAUUAGCUGGUUGGUGGGGUAACGGCUCACCAAGGCAACGAUCAGUAGCCGACCUGAGAGGGUGAUCGGCCACAUUGGAACUGAGACACGGUCCAAACUCC
rnacentral:rRNA from 1 species